rnacentral:lncRNA from 1 species
AGCGUGCCUGCCAAAUUUCGUUGCAUUCGGAGUUUGCUUGAUACCCGAACGGUCGACCGUAGAGGCACCGUCAUCGGUUUAUUGUCGUACGUUUUUUCGGUGUUUUUAAAAUAUUAUGUCGGGCCGCAAACCUGCCUCUCUUUUUAGCCCACCACCUCUCGACACUGCCCACUAGUUUAGCCUAGCCCCUACCCAUCGCUGGAGCCAUCCAGUCGCGAUCCUACGAUCCAAAUUCGGACGAAAUC